rnacentral:rRNA from 1 species
CGAGCACGCGCGUGUGGCAUAUCAAUAAGCGGAGGAAAAGAAACUAACAAGGAUUCCCUUAGUAACGGCGAGUGAAGCGGGAAGAGCUCAAAUUUGAAAUCUUCAAGGUUCUACCUUGACGAAUUGUAGUUUAUAGAAGUGUUUUCUGUUAGUGGAGUGGCAAAAGUUCUUUGGAAUAGGACAUCAUAGAGGGUGAGAAUCCCGUAUUUGGUCAUUCCUCCUAGCGUUGUGAUACACUUUCAACGAGUCGGAUUGUUUGGGAAUGCAGUCCAAAAUGGGUGGUAAAUUUCAUCUAAAGCUAAAUAUUGGCGAGAGACCGAUAGCGAACAAGUACCGUGAGGGAAAGAUGAAAAGAACUUUGAAAAGAGAGUUAAACAGUACGUGAAAUUGUCAAAAGGGAAGCGUUUGACACCAGUGUUGUUUUUCCGAAAAUCAAUUACGAAUGUUUUAUUUUUGAGGAGUUAUGACUUCAUCGGCUUGCUCCUUUCUUUACGAAACUUUCUUAAUGCACUUUUCGGUUAACAAGUCAACAUCAAUUUCUUUUGUUGUAAAAGGGUAUGAGGAAGGUGGCUUUCUUUUCGGAGAAAGUGUUUAUAGCCUUGUGCCUCUGCAAUCGGAGAGAUUGAGGUCUGCAGCGUAGAUCCUUCGGGGUUAGAUACAUUUGUGCUAAGUUAUAGCUUUUCAUAGACAACUUGUUGACUAUGUUAAGUCUUGUAGCUUACUCGCUUAUGCUAUUUUACCUACGCUUAGGAUGUUGAGCGCAUGUCUCUCUCU